UCGGGGUCGCUCCUGCGUGCACGAACGGUCCUGAUUCAUGCCCUAAAUAGGCUUGAUCGAACGACUCCUGUUGUUCCACGCGGACUCGAACGGACACCUAGAUCGAACAGAAAAAAGUAUUUAAACUUCUUUUUGGCUGACUCUCCAAAACCCUAGUUACCAAAUCGAUAAGUGAAGGAGAAGUAGGGACGUUGGAGGGAGCUCAGGUGCUAGAGGGAUGACGGUGUCAUUGUGUCGAAAGUCGAAAAUGACGCCAAUAAGCUCGAUUUUCUCCUAUUCUUUCAUUUUCAAUUUUUUUUAAACACUUUUAAUGCGGAUUAAUCCGAAAAACACCGCAAACUGAGACAGAGGAGAUGCACAAGUCGGGCCCGAUUCUGGUAAGCCGUUUGUCCCCCCUCCGUUCCCUUUCCUUCCUUAGACACUAAUAGCAUGUUAUUUUUUUGUUUAGCAAAGGAAAGAGAGGAAAGAAAAGAAAUUAAGUGAAAUUCGAGAGUAGAGAUCAUCGCGACCGAUGGUUAUGAAGAACAACACUGCCACCGUCCAAUUUGGGUAAAGAUGCCUAAACCCUCCCCUUCGUAACAACUAACCGAAGGCCAAAGAAAAAAAUAAUAAAAGAAGGUUGCCGAUGGAGCUAAUAAAACAUUGAUUACCAUUUUAAUUUAUUCUACCUUUUUCUUAACCUAUUUUACAUAUAUUCUUGUGUAUAUAUUACCUUAUUUUUAUUUGUUUUGUUUUGUUUCAUAUAAUUUUAUUUUACUAUGAUAUUCUAUAUAUCCUAUUUCAUUCGAAUCAUUCUCACUUUAUUACAUUCCGCUUUAUUUUGUAUUACCUGAAUAUAAGUGAAUUUACUUUAUA